rnacentral:rRNA from 1 species
AUGUUGACAAAGAAAAGAAAGCACGAGAAGGCAGGGGUGGCUUCUCACCUUGCUGUUCGUGGCGAGGCCGGAAGACACGGGACGGACGACAGCGAAUUCAGGACGUUAGCAAUGGCAGUCAACGUCGAGGAAGUAGGAGAGACCCGUGGCUUCAAAUCCUUGGUCCAGAGGAGACGCGGAGCCCGUCACGGUCCCUACAGUUGCUCGGGGAGGAUGACGACCGCGGCGGCGUCGCAACGGCGGCUAACGGAACAGAGGAAGGCGACCUCGGUCCAUAAGUUUGCUGCAUGCUCGGUGUCCAGGAAUCGCAUCAGAACGACGGCCGGAGCUGAACAGAAUUAG